GUUUAUUAUCAACUUACUCCAACCCAUUCCUCUUAAUUUUUACACCUCCCAGCCAUGAAACAUCUCACUCUUCUACCAUCUUUUUAGUAGAGGCGAUCGAAACAAAAUAUCUUAAUUACCGUAAGGGAUCAAUGAAAAAAUGAAAAACUUUUAAGAAUAAAAAAGAAGCAAUUAACCUUCGUACCUUUUGCAUCAUGGUUUAGCAAACAAAAAGAAAACCCUCUCUUCCCCGAAGCCAGGCGAGCUAUUCCCUUCUAGUGAACACGCACUUACCUACUCAUUGUUGCAAUAAUGAGGGAAGAGAAGAGAAUAGAGGCGAAAUACCAAUCGAGCCUGUCAAUAGCUGGUUGUUCUCGAAACAAGUAAAAGCUUAACAAACUUCCAAAAAUAGAAAGUUAUGAAAGAACUUAAAGGACUAGCCUUAAGUUCAAAAUGGAAAACCCUUUCAUCUAAACAAGGCCACUAAUCAACUCAUUUUACUAACAGUAGGCUUAGAAGCAGCCACCUAACAAACCGCGUUACAGCAAAUACUAUCCCCCUAAAAAACUCUUGCUAAUAUGUGCCAAAUUUCUUCUAGAGAACUAUUUUUUUAUAAAAACCACUUCUGCUAAAACUAGUAAUUCCAUCUCACCUAAUUCUAUCAUACGGCUCCUUACCCUGGAAGGAAAGAUUAUAAUACUUACCCAUUAAAAAUAAACCCCCCCUACCGUACACCAACACAGGCGAGAACUACAACAAAAAAAGAAGGAAGGAACUCGGCAAAACGAGCCCCGCCUGUUUACCAAAAACAUCGCCCCUCGAUCCCCUACAUAUGAGGGGUACUGCCUGCCCAGUGAACAAUUCAACGGCCGCGGUAUUUUGACCGUGCAAAGGUAGCACAAUCACUUGUCUCCUAAAUAGGGACUAGUAUCAAUGGCAAGACGAGGGCCCAACUGUCUCCCUUCUUAAAAACUAAACUUCUCUAGUCGUGCAAAAGCGACCAUUUAAGCGUAAGACGAGAAGACCCUAUCGAGCUUCAAGGAGUAAAAUAAAGAUUGGAGCUAACAACCGCCUUAAAAAUUAAUAAUUAACCUCUAACAACGUUCUCCCCUCUGCUUCUUUUUCCUUCCACACUCCUUUUGGUUGGGGCAACCACGGAGAACAUUUAACCUCCGAAUUAACCUUUCUAAGAUUAAUAAAUCGAACAUUACGACCCCUAAAACUCAUGACCCAGACUAUCUGAUCAUUAAAUAAGUUACCGUAGGGAUAACAGCGUAAUCCCUUCUAAGAGUCCGCAUUGCCGAAGGGGUUUGCGACCUCGAUGUUGGAUCGGGUCGUCCUGAUGGUGCAGCCGCUAUCAAGGGUUGGUCUGUUCGACCAUUAAAGACCUACGUGAUCUGAGUUCAGACCGGCGAGAGCCAGGUCGGCUUCUAUCUACGCAUUUUUGUUUUUCUAAGUACGAAAGGACCAGAAAAACUAGGCCCAUCUUUUAGAGACGCCUAUUACAACAUGCACCCAACUAACU
rnacentral:rRNA from 1 species